rnacentral:rRNA from 1 species
UACAGAGGCGGCAAGCGUUGUUCGGAAUUAUUGGGCGUAAAGAGCACGUAGGCGGCUGUGUAAGUCGGUUGUGAAAGCCUUCCGCUCAACGGAAGAACGGCAUCCGAUACUGCAUGGCUUGAGUGUGGGAGGGGAGAGUGGAACUUCUGGUGGAGCGGUGAAAUGCGUAGAUAUCUGGAGGAACACCGGUGGCGAAGGCGGCAUCCUGGACCGACAUUGACGCUGAGGCGCGAAAGCUAGGGUAGCAAAC